AUUGAACGCUGGCGGCAGGCCUAACACAUGCAAGUCGAGCGGAUGAAGGGAGCUUGCUCCUUGAUUCGGCGGCGGACGGGUGAGUAAUGCCUAGGAAUCUGCCUGGUAGUUGGGGAUAACGUCCGGAAACGGGCGCUCAUACCGCAUACGCCCUGAGGGAGAAAGUGGGGGAUCUUCGGACCUCACGCUAUCAGCUGAGCCUAGGUCGGAUUAGCUAGUUUGUGGGGUAAAGGCCUACCAAGGCGACGAUCCGUAACUGGUCUGAGAGGAUGAUCAGUCACACUGGAACUGAGACACGGUCCAGACUCCUACGGGAGGCAGCAGUGGGGAAUAUUGGACAAUGGGCGAAAGCCUGAUCCAGCCAUGCCGCGUGUGUGAAGAAGGUCUGCGGAUUGUAAAGCACUUUAAGUUGGGAGGAAGGGCAGUAAGUUAAUACCUUGCUGUUUUGACGUUACCAACAGAAUAAGCACCGGCUAACUUCGUG
rnacentral:rRNA from 1 species